UGGGGAAUAUUGCACAAUGGGGGAAACCCUGAUGCAGCAACGCCGCGUGGAGGAAGAAACCCUUAGGGGCGUAAACUCCUUUUAUAGUCGAAGAAGAUGACGGUAGACUAUGAAUAAGCACCGGCUAACUCCGUGCCAGCAGCCGCGGUAAUA
rnacentral:rRNA from 1 species